rnacentral:tRNA from 1 species
GCGGGUGUAACUCAGUGGCUAGAGUGUUAGCUUCCCAAGCUGAAAGUCGUGGGUUCGAAUCCCAUCACCCGCU